UGCAGGUGGAGCCCAGGGGAAC
rnacentral:miRNA from 1 species